rnacentral:rRNA from 1 species
UACGUAGGGUGCGAGCGUUAAUCGGAAUUACUGGGCGUAAAGUGUGCGCAGGCGGCGUUGCGAGUCGAGUGUGAAAUCCCCGAGCUUAACUUGGGAAUUGCGCUCGAAACUACGAUGCUCGAGUGUGGCAGAGGAAGGUGGAAUUCCACGUGUAGCGGUGAAAUGCGUAGAGAUGUGGAGGAACACCGGUGGCGAAGGCGGCAUCCUGGACCAACACUGACACUGAGGAGCGAAAGCCAGGGGAGCAAACGGG